rnacentral:lncRNA from 1 species
UGGGAGCAAAUAAUAGUGCCUUAGAUCACAGUGUAGGGGAAUCCUCUAUAAAUUCCUAAAUAUACACAACCUUGUCAAAGAGCUCUCGAGAUCUAGAAUUCAUCCAUGCUUUUUAAAGAAGCAGAAGCCAUAUAAUGGCCUCCUGAUAAGAAGGAAGAGUCGCUAAAGGAAAUAGAUGCCCAAAGUGCCCCCUAUAUCAAUGUAUACUCAUCAACAUAAGAGGGGACUAUUUAUCUUUGCUCCUUAGGUUCUCUCAUCAAAAGCUGGUAAGUGUCUUGAGCAUGGAGUUUCCCAUUACAGUCUUCUACCUCAAUGCAUAAGCAUUAACAUUAAAGAAAGAGACUAUAGUGGAUAUAAAUAAAAGUGGUCAGACAUAGCAUUACCUACCACCCUUAAAUUGGGCUUUUUUAUAGUCCCUACCUCAUCCUCUUAAAUUAUCCAAGAAGGAUCCUUGUAAAUUGAUCAACGAGUUCAAAGACAAAAAUGAGACAAUGACUAUAGGUAAUGCAGAUAGAAAAUGAUCUGGACUUUGAGGGACCAAAUAUUUGUAUAAUUUAAGACAUUUUAAAGAGAAGAGUGUGGAGAAAAAAAGUAGGUGGAGGCUGGAAUUUAUUGACUAGGGGUCUCUGAAAAGAGGGCACGAAUAAGUGAUACAUGUAUGACUAUCCAUAAAAGAUACAUCAACA